GACGAACGCUGGCGGCGUGCUUAACACAUGCAAGUCGAACGGAAAGGCCCCCUUGUGGGGUACUCGAGUGGCGAACGGGUGAGUAACACGUGAGUAACCUACCCUUGACUUUGGGAUAACUUCAGGAAACUGGGGCUAAUACCGGAUAGGAGCUCCUGCUGCAUGGUGGGGGUUGGAAAGUUUCGGCGGUUGGGGAUGGACUCGCGGCUUAUCAGCUUGUUGGUGGGGUAGUGGCUCACCAAGGCCUUGACGGGUAGCCGGCCUGAGAGGGUGACCGGCCACAUGGGGACUGAGAGACGGCCCAGACUCCUACGGGAGGCAGCAGUGGGGAAUAUGGCACAAUGGGCGGAAGCCUGAUGCAGCAACGCCGCGUGCGGGAUGACGGCCUUCGGGUUGUAAACCGCUGUCGCCUGUGACGAAGCGUGAGUGACGGUAAUGGGUAAAGAAGCACCGGCUAACUACGUG
rnacentral:rRNA from 1 species